rnacentral:lncRNA from 11 species
AUGAUCGAUUCUUUUGGGAACAUAAUAAAAAAGUAAUCGGCAAGGUCUGCUGAGACUGUGGGCUACAUACCCGCAUUCCCUGCAUUCUAGACAUCGCCCUGAGUGGCCUUAGGGCCCUUAGGGUCCUCAUUGUUUUGAAGGCUUGGAUCCCGCCAGCGCCACAGAGCGACGCUACGAAGUUAAUGAGUGACACCUGCGAGCGAGAAACGAGAGCGGAUCACAGCAACAGACCAUUGAAGCGGAUUUAAAAUAAUGCAGGAGUCCGUCCCAUCUGUAGAGAUCGUUCCAUUUAAAUAGUGUAUGAUACACAUUGUUAGAUACAACAAAUAUCCAGAGCAGGGGGACGAAGACACUGAUAGAAACCAGAUAUGGCACAAGUAGCAGUUCACAGAGAAUGGAUUUCAUUGCACGCAAUCAAGUGAGUACGAUCGACAAUGCAAAGAGCAAUGAAUGAAUUGAUGAGAAUUAUUAUUAAUUACGAGCAUGAUAAUCAGCUCCAUCCUGAAACAGAUGAAAAGAAAGAUAUAUUGAAGAAAAUGAUACCAUAAUGCGUUGCACUGUUAAGAAAUCAAAAACCUGAUGAUCAAAAUUCCAAAUUAUACGCGCAUAAUAUAGUAUUGUAGUAUACACGCGUACAUUAACACAUAAGGAAGAUUGUACAAUACACACAAAGCAAUAUAAUAUGUAUAUAUAUAAUGUAUAUAUAUAUAUAGUUCAUAUGUAUAUAGAUACACUGUAUUUUGCACAACGAUCACUGUGCUAAAAAAGACUGUUAGGAAAGGCGUACAUCGGCAAUAGCUAGUACGACAAAAACUUCAAUAUCAGUGCAGACAUUAAGUAGAGACACCAGUGUAACUCUGUACACUGGAAAGCACACCAUAGAGUACAAGGCUACAAUCAUUGUAGCGAUCGUAUCCUCUUUCAUUUUUCCCUCGGUUUUUACUUAUCGUUCCCUUCUCUUUUCUUUAUUUGUUUUUCUUUUCUCGUAUCAAUUCUGGUCGAAAAACCAAAGCCCUGAUUCAAACGUAACGGAUUGAAGAUCAGAAGAAUAAAAAAUAUCACUA